rnacentral:lncRNA from 1 species
CUAAAAAAUGCAACACUCUUUAACAGCUAAUACCCAAUAACUUUCCCCUUUAUUUAUUCCCAUUUCCAUAUCUAUUUGGCUAGGCAUGUGACUACAGAGAGUAUUGCUAGUUGGAAGCUUCAUAUGUGCUGAUUGGUUGACUAAUUUUCUUAUUCUACUUCAUCAGAUGCCUGCUGCCUGAUAAAUGGAUAAGGAGCUAAGUUACAAUUACUUUUCAGCUGGAUUACCCUUCAUUAUAUUUUAUUGAUUUUGGCUUAAAAGCAUUUGGAUCUAUGGCUGUAACAGAAGGAGUGUGAAGAACAGCAGGGAAAAGGACGUGUUUCUGUAUGUUUUCAGUUGCCCUGAGAAGGUGUCUG